rnacentral:rRNA from 1 species
UGGGGAAUAUUGGACAAUGGGCGAAAGCCUGAUCCAGCCAUGCCGCGUGUGUGAAGAAGGUCUUCGGAUUGUAAAGCACUUUAAGUUGGGAGGAAGGGCAGUAAGCGAAUACCUUGCUGUUUUGACGUUACCGAUAGAAUAAGCACCGGCUAACUCUGUGCCAGCAGCCGCGGUAAUACAGAGGGUGCAAGCGUUAAUCGGAAUUACUGGGCGUAAAGCGCGCGUAGGUGGUUCGUUAAGUUGAAUGUGAAAGCCCCGUGCUCAACCUGGGAACUGCAUCCAAAACUGGCGAGAUAGAGUAGGGCAGAGGGUGGUGGAAAUUCCUGUGUAGCGGUGAAAUGCGUAGAUAUAGGAAGGAACACCAGUGGCGAAGGCGACCACCUGGGCUCAUACUGACACUGAGGUGCGAAAGCGUGGGGAGCAAACAGG